rnacentral:rRNA from 3 species
GGACUACCGGGGUAUCUAAUCCCGUUUGCUCCCCUGGCUUUCGCGCCUCAGCGUCAGAAGAGGUCCAGCGCGCCGCUUUCGCCACCGGUGUUCCUUCCGAUAUCUACGCAUUUCACCGCUCCACCGGAAGUUCCGCACGCCCCUACCUCCCUCGAGGUUCGCAGUAUCAAAGGCACUGCUCCGGUUGAGCCGGAGGAUUUCACCCCUGACUUGCGAGCCCGCCUACGCGCCCUUUAAGCCCAGUGAUUCCGAACAACGUUAGCACGGUUCGUCUUACCGCGGCGGCUGGCAC